UUGAAGCAGUUAGGUAGCAUUCAACCACUUCAGGAAAUCAAAACUUUACAACAAAAAGUACAAACAAUAUCUGCACAGACCAAUUCUUUGAGUAUAAAGGAAAUUGCACGUAGUCAAGACUUUCUUGCAUUGUACAAUAUGACUACUAGUUUGUUGAAUGAACUUGAUGUGCGGACUAACAGUAAAAUCAAACAACUUGAAAAUAAUUGUAAUAUGUCUGUUAGUACUUAUUCAACACCGCUUUGAUAAUCGCAUCAAUGAAACGAUGGUUUAUCAGAAUAAGGCAAUGAUGUAUUUGGAACAUAGUUUAAAAAUACAGCUGCAACAUAUUCAGAAGAAUUAGAGCGAGACUUUGGAUGAGUUAGCGACGAAACUGAGUGAAAGUGAAACGAGAGACAAUUUAACGUACUCCCAGUUAAAAAACAGAUUGAUGACAGCACAGAAAUA
rnacentral:lncRNA from 1 species